CCUAAAACCGAUUUUGCAGCCAUGCGGGGUGUGGUUCACUGGUCGGCAAAGACACGAGCGGGUUGUCUGCUCUUCUUUGAAAACUGCCUCCACAACGCAUCGGAAUCGUUUGACAGUGACAUCUACGGAAAAGAAGGGUCUUGCGUGGCCGUUUCGAACCGAGACCCAAUUGAUGAUAUUUAUAUGUAUAUAAGCAACAGUUUGGCAAUGAAAACCUUCGUCUGCACCUCCAAAUUGCUGUUGGGCUGCCAAGGAACGGAACAGACCUUCGAAAUCAGGAAUGACGAAAGCAACUGCGAUCUGCCAGAGUGCACAGGGCUACCCGAUUGCGUUAUGGACGUAUAAUUAUGAAUCAUAGAAAUAUUCGAAAAAAAUGAUUGAAAAUUAUCUGCAGGAUAAACAUUUUCUAAAGCAUCACUUCCGAGUCUUGCUUGCACCAUGGCGUUUUGGGAAUUGGCAUUCAUGUUGCGGCAAUAACAUCCUUGAGCUGCGUGAUGAAUAUGGCAAUUGGGACGAGGCUUACAAACGGUGCUGCUCCCUUGGAAUGGACCUCCUUUCAGUCCACAAUCUAGGAAAACAAGACUGCUUGGGCAAUCCUUACAG